GGGCGGUUAGCAUAGCUGGAUAUUGCACCGGCCUUCUAAGCCGGAGAUCCGGGGUUCGAAUCCCCGACCGCUCG
rnacentral:tRNA from 1 species